CGGACUAAUGAUUUUUGCCAAAUCUGGCCGAUAAACUAAAUCUUACAAAUUCCCUAAAAGAGCUCUCUUAGUAGUUUUUAAUGGACAUUACCAUUCAGUCCACACAAACAUUUAAUUAGUCCUACUUAACUGGGGUAACCCUACACUCACGUUUUAUUCCUAGGUGUUAAAAAUCCUAACAAAUCGAUAAAUAAAGCUUAUGUACUAACUUAUAAAUUAGGGACGUUCACACUUAACUAAAUUUUCAAACAUAGAUAUAAUUUGGUUCAAUUUGUGCGUCGCUGUUGUUUAGUUUUUGUUGUGUUUUUUUUUUUCUCUUAUCAAUAUAUAUUAAAGUGAUGUCUUUUUUUUUUUUUGUUAAAUUUUAGAUGUCUUCAACUAGCGCUUCAUGAUUGCGUUUGGCGCUAUUUCCAUUCUAUUGGAGGCAAAUGGUAAUUGAUAUGGAGAAUCACGGAGAAUCUUAUGACAACAGACAUCACAAGGCAAUCAGACAUGCACGGGAUCAAUUUUUAGCACACAAGUUUGGCUGCUGGUUUCGGGCCGAUUUUUUUCCAAAAAUAUGGAUUGACCACCAAAACUGCUGACCUCCUCCAGGAAGAUGUCUGGAGGGGCCAAUAUUUCCAGAACAGGGUUAACGUUGGCGCGAGCCUUAUAGUUAUUUCGCACCAACACAUAGAUUAAAACACCACUGAACACAAUAAAACAACCACAAUUUGUAUUACUUAUAUCAAUUAUAACUUUAACUUUGCGGGCUGAAACAAUGAUACUCCUUCACAACAACCAACAAAACGACUUCAACGACAUUUUCCCCGCUUUGCCUUUUUAUAGGGACAAAAAGCAAGCCAAUUUCCCUCUUUUCUCAAAUUUUCCCGGAUUUUUCUUAUUUAUCAUAUUAUGCUUUCAACGCACCUACGUACCCCUACUAUUCUCCACUCCAGAGUUGUAUUUCCCUACUCAAGCAUGAUUACAUGUGGCAACGCUGGAAUUUUGCAAAUGAGCCGGCCACCUCUCGUAUCCGGUUCUCUUUCUACUUGCCGGCAGCAAUGGACGGGGACUUGCUGCUGGUAAUUAAUUUUUUUAUAACCAAGACAAAAAAAUAUUUUCAUGGGCCACACGCAACAAAACUUCAACAUUUCCGAAGCAAAUGAUGGAAAUGGUGAUGUGAGAGUUGUAUUUCCCUACUCAAGCAUGAUUACAUGUGGCAACGCUGGAAUUUUGCAAAUGAGCCGGCCACCUCUCGUAUCCGGUUCUCUUUCUACUUGCCGGCAGCAAUGGACGGGGACUUGCUGCUGGUAAUUAAUUUUUUAUAACCAAGACAAAAAAAUAUUUUCAUGGGCCACACGCAACAAAACUUCAACAUUUCCGAAGCAAAUGAUGGAAAUGGUGAUGUACGUGGCCUCUGAAAUAAAUUUCACCCCGUAUAUCCCGUGAUGGCAGAAAUAAACGCGGAUUAUAUGCCGCAGGUCAACCCCUAAUAUACGCAUGCGGCCAGGGCACAAGUUUAUAGCGGCAGCAUAAGAUGGCUGGACACAGGUAAUUAUUUUUCUUGAACGAAAAUACUAUGUGUGGCGUUUGUACGACUAUGCGUACGCAUAAAAUACACACUGCCUGGUGUCUCAUUCAUAAUAAUGUAUGUGUGCGCGUAUGUGCGUCUGCUUUUGAAUGCUACCUAUCUAUGCGUCGACAUGUGCGUAGAUCCGCAAAUCAUUUUUGCGUUAAAAAAAUAGAUUAUGACAUUGAUGACUCGGCAGAAUGCCUGUUAUUCUUCCUAGCCUCAACAUAGCAAACGUUAGUGAAUCAUUUAUAUCACCCCAAAUCUCUAGAAUCUAACUACUAUAUACGCCGAAAGGAGGAAUCGGUGAAUGCAAUAUAAAUUUGUAUGUGUGCAAGACGUUCGGAAUAAAAGGAAGCAGUAAGGCAAUUGGCCUGUAUACUGAGAUAAAAAAAACAGCUGAACGUGAAAUGUUUUCAAAGAAAAUAUACAUAAGCCUAACAAAUAUACAUAAACAAAUCAAGUGAAUCAAAUUGUGAAAUGCACAAAUCAAUAUCACGGCCAUUUUAUCGCAGCAUGAAUUGGUACCUGCAC